AACGGAGGGAACAAGUGUUACUUGGCACUGGGGGUCAAAUGCGUUAGGUGGUGGAAUGUGUGGAUAACUUAAAUGAUUUUGUGGUAAGACCGAAAGUUAGCAUCUAAUACUAUUACACUGGAGUACUUAUAGUACAACAGUAUUUUAAGUGUAAAGUGAAAAUUUCAAAUAUUUGAAAGACAAGCAAUAGGAGAAGGCGGUGUUAUGAAGUAAACGGACAUUGAAGCGCGAAAGCUUAGGAGCAAAUAGG
rnacentral:rRNA from 1 species